rnacentral:rRNA from 1 species
GAUGAACGCUGGCGGCGUGCCUAACACAUGCAAGUGGAGCGACGAACCUCCUUCGGGAGGGGCAAAGCCGCGAACGGGUGAGUAACACGUGGGUUAUCUGCCCCAAUGACCGGGACACCUCGCGGAAACUCGAGCUAAUACCGGAUGUGCUCUUCGGAGGAAAGGAAGCUUCGGCCUCCGCAUUGGGAUGAGCCCGCGGCGCAGUAGCUAGUUGGGGGGGUAACGGCUCACCAAGGCGACGAUGCGUAGCUGGUCGGAGAGGACGAUCAGCCCCACUGGAACUGAGACACGGUCCAGACUCCUACGGGAGGCAGCAGUGGGGAAUCUUGCGCAAUGCACGAAAGUGUGACGCAGCAACGCCGCGUGCGGGAAGAAGGUCUUCGGAUCGUAAACCGCUUUCAGUUGGGACGAGGGUUACACGGUGAAUAGCCGGCGUAACUGACGGUACCUUCAGAAGAAGCCCCGGCUAACUACGUGCCAGCCGCCGCGGUAA